rnacentral:rRNA from 1 species
UACGUAGGGGGCAAGCGUUGUCCGGAAUCAUUGGGCGUAAAGCGCGUGUAGGCGGCUUGGUAAGUCUGCUCUGAAAGCCCGGGGCUCAACCCCGGGAGGCGGGUGGAUACUGUCAAGCUCGAGUCCGGAAGAGGAGUGCGGAAUUCCUGGUGUAGCGGUGAAAUGCGCAGAUAUCAGGAGGAAUACCGGUGGCGAAGGCGGCAUCCUGGACCGGCAUUGACGCUGAGUGAGCGAAAGCCAGGGGAGCAGACGGG